AGGAGCCUCCUGCACACGUCCCUCUGCGCCCGCCCGCCCGGCCAGCGCCGGCUACUGUUGUUUGUGGCUCUGCAGCCGAAGCGGGCCUUGCUUCCUGCCUGGAAUGGCUGGAAUUCUCGAGUGGAGAGAAGCCCAAGCCGGGAGGCAGGACAGAGGACUGCCAGCCUCAGCAGCAGCCGGCAGCCCUGGCGUCCAGCUCACAAAGCAAACAGCUGCGAAGAGUUCCCUUUAAGAACGAGGCGUGGGCUGGGGUGCCACUCAUGAGGAGCCCUUGCCUGGCCAGCACAGCCUGGUUCCAGCCCCAGCACCUCCAAGGAACAAAAAAACAAGCAAAAAAGAAUAAGGCGUCCUCUGCCAAUGAACCCCUCCCCCAGGGAGGGCCUGGGCAGGUGGGCCAGUGCCUGGGCAGCACACCAGGACCCUGGGGAAGCGCGGGGCCCCACAGCCUGAGGGCCCUCUCUGCCCGUGUGCCACGGCUGCUAGGAGCCCGCGGGGCACGGCUCUGCCCACAGUGAGAAGGUUCUCAGGGCUCAUCACCUGUGCCGAGGGGACGCCUGUGACUCUCCAUCACUGUGGCCCACAGAGGAGCCAGCCACACCUGUGGGUCAGCAGAGGGGUGCAGGCUGGGAGGACUAGGGUCCACUCAGGCAGGUGGACGGGGAGCCCCCUCUCGGAGGCCACCCUGCAACGGGCUCCUCUGGAAGGCAGGUGGCUUGGUGAGAAGGUCCCGCCCUGUCCCAUCUGCUCCCAGUGCUGUCUGCAUGAGGGGCAGUAAGCAAGACCCCAACCCCUGGCCCAAGGCAGAGAGGCGCUUCCCGAAGGGCAAGGGCGAC
rnacentral:lncRNA from 1 species